rnacentral:rRNA from 1 species
AGAGUUUGAACCUGGCUCAGAUUGAACGCUGGCGGCAGGCCUAACACAUGCAAGUCGAGCGGUAGCACAGAGAGCUUGCUCUCGGGUGACGAGCGGCGGACGGGUGAGUAAUGUCUGGGAAACUGCCUGAUGGAGGGGGAUAACUACUGGAAACGGUAGCUAAUACCGCAUAACGUCGCAAGACCAAAGUGGGGGGCCUUCGGGCCUCAUGCCAUCAGAUGUGCCCAGAUGGGAUUAGCUGGUAGGUGGGGUAACGGCUCACCUAGGCGACGAUCCCUAGCUGGUCUGAGAGGAUGACCAGCCACACUGGAACUGAGACACGGUCCAGACUCCUACGGGAGGCAGCAGUGGGGAAUAUUGCACAAUGGGCGCAAGCCUGAUGCAGCCAUGCCGCGUGUGUGAAGAAGGCCUUCGGGUUGUAAAGCACUUUCAGCGGGGAGGAAGGCGGUGAGGUUAAUAACCUCAUCGAUUGACGUUACCCGCAGAAGAAGCACCGGCUAACUCCGUGCCAGCAGCCGCGGUAAUACGGAGGGUGCAAGCGUUAAUCGGAAUUACUGGGCGUAAAGCGCACGCAGGCGGUCUGUCAAGUCGGAUGUGAAAUCCCCGGGCUCAACCUGGGAACUGCAUUCGAAACUGGCAGGCUAGAGUCUUGUAGAGGGGGGUAGAAUUCCAGGUGUAGCGGUGAAAUGCGUAGAGAUCUGGAGGAAUACCGGUGGCGAAGGCGGCCCCCUGGACAAAGACUGACGCUCAGGUGCGAAAGCGUGGGGAGCAAACAGGAUUAGAUACCCUGGUAGUCCACGCUGUAAACGAUGUCGAUUUGGAGGUUGUGCCCUUGAGGCGUGGCUUCCGGAGCUAACGCGUUAAAUCGACCGCCUGGGGAGUACGGCCGCAAGGUUAAAACUCAAAUGAAUUGACGGGGGCCCGCACAAGCGGUGGAGCAUGUGGUUUAAUUCGAUGCAACGCGAAGAACCUUACCUGGUCUUGACAUCCACAGAACUUUCCAGAGAUGGAUUGGUGCCUUCGGGAACUGUGAGACAGGUGCUGCAUGGCUGUCGUCAGCUCGUGUUGUGAAAUGUUGGGUUAAGUCCCGCAACGAGCGCAACCCUUAUCCUUUGUUGCCAGCGGUCCGGCCGGGAACUCAAAGGAGACUGCCAGUGAUAAACUGGAGGAAGGUGGGGAUGACGUCAAGUCAUCAUGGCCCUUACGACCAGGGCUACACACGUGCUACAAUGGCAUAUACAAAGAGAAGCGACCUCGCGAGAGCAAGCGGACCUCAUAAAGUAUGUCGUAGUCCGGAUUGGAGUCUGCAACUCGACUCCAUGAAGUCGGAAUCGCUAGUAAUCGUAGAUCAGAAUGCUACGGUGAAUACGUUCCCGGGCCUUGUACACACCGCCCGUCACACCAUGGGAGUGGGUUGCAAAAGAAGUAGGUAGCUUAACCUUCGGGAGGGCGCUUACCACUUUGUGAUUCAUGACUGGGGUGAAGUCGUAACAAGGUAACCGUAAC